rnacentral:rRNA from 1 species
UACAGAGGAUGCAAGCGUUGUUCGGAAUUACUGGGCGUAAAGCGUGCGUAGGUGGUUAUGUGUGUCUGGUGUGAAAGCCCACGGCUCAACCGUGGAAGUGCGCCAGAAACUGCAUAACUGGAGUGUAGGAGAGGAUAGUAGAAUUCUCAGUGUAGAGGUGAAAUUCGUAGAUACUGGGAGGAACACCGGUGGCGAAGGCGACUAUCUGGACUAUAACUGACACUGAUGUACGAAAGCGUGGGUAGCAAACAGG